rnacentral:rRNA from 1 species
UAUGGAGGUCCCUAGCGGUGGAAGCCGAAGCUUGCUCCUUGGGUGACGAGUGGCGGACGGGUGAGUAAUGUCUGGGAAACUGCCCGAUGGAGGGGGAUAACUACUGGAAACGGUAGCUAAUACCGCAUAACGUCGCAAGACCAAAGAGGGGGACCUUCGGGCCUCUUGCCAUCGGAUGUGCCCAGAUGGGAUUAGCUAGUAGGUGGGGUAACGGCUCACCUAGGCGACGAUCCCUAGCUGGUCUGAGAGGAUGACCAGCCACACUGGAACUGAGACACGGUCCAGACUCCUACGGGAGGCAGCAGUGGGGAAUAUUGCACAAUGGGCGCAAGCCUGAUGCAGCCAUGCCGCGUGUAUGAAGAAGGCCUUCGGGUUGUAAAGUACUUUCAGCGAGGAGGAAGGUGUUGUGGUUAAUAACCGCAGCAAUUGACGUUACUCGCAGAAGAAGCACCGGCUAACUCCGUGCCAGCAGCCGCGGUAAUACGGAGGGUGCAAGCGUUAAUCGAAUUACUGGGCGUAAAGCGCACCCGGCGGUCUGUCAAGUCGGAUGUGAAACCCCCGGGUCAACCUGGGAACGCCUCCCAAACUGGCAGGUAAAUCUUGUAAAGGGGGGUAAAAUUCCGGGUACCGUGAAAGCCUAAAAAUCGGAGGAUACCGGUGGGGAAGGCGCCCCCUGGC